UUAAGAACCAGAUUAAUUCACAAUUAAUAAAAGAAUUCACAAAGGGAUUAGGGUUACGUAUGAGAUGAUUUCACGUUCUUCUUCCUCUCACUCAAACAAACGGCGGCAUCGGAACUCAAUCUCUCCGGCGAAGACUUCCGCUCACCACCACGAACCCCCAAACAAUAUGUAUCUCUUCCUCUAUCAUCUCAAUCCGCGACAGUUCUCUCUCGAUCUCACCCUCUCCGCUUUCGUCUCUCUCUCUCUCUCAUGAACUCGACGGUGAAGGCAUACCUCCGAAGGAACUCAACAACGCGACAUCAUUUCCUCUUUGAACCGAUCAAAUCAACCCCUCUCCGCCUCAAACUCAUACUCCGUUCAAAUUUCCUGCGUGAUGCGAUUGAUAUUGCAAUUGAUUGACGAUGUUGCGGUGAAUAACGAAUCCUGAUGAUGAUAUUGAAGGUGAUAGUUGCUGGAGUCUUGUUGAUGACAUCGAGAUUGAUGCGCAAUGAAGAAGAUGCAAUUUCUUUGUUGAUUUUCCGUUGCGAUUUUCUUUGUGAUUCUCGGUUUCUGUUUGCAGAUUGAAGAAUUGAUGGAGAAGUGAGAAGUGAAGAAGAUGGAGAUCGAGGGAGAAGAAGAUGAUGAGUGAAAAGCUUCUGAGUCUCUCCCUUUUCUGUUCUGUUUUCAGGUUAAUGGUGGAAGAUGAAGGUGAUAAAAAAUGGUGAGAUGAGGUUAUAUAGAGGUGAUGAAGAUUGAGAAAAAUGGAGAGAGAUUGAUGAGUGAAGUGUGAAAUCAGAGACUGUGAAUGGUGUGUGUAGAGAAUGAUAAGGUGUAGAAGAUGAAUGAAGGUGGAGGUCCUGGUUUUAUAGAAGCGUCCAGGUUUAUACUUUGUGGAGUAGUUUGGAAUGACACUUGAAAUAGCACAUAGAGCAAAAAUGAGGAUGUGAAGAAAUGAAGAGGACUUGGAGAAAGAGACCAAAUAACGUUGAAAAGGAGAGCAUUAGGUCUAGGAAGUCAAUUGAAUUAGUCGAAGAGUCAACAAGUCGACGGUCAACCGUGGCUUUUCUUUUGUAAUUUUCUUUUUGCGUAAUGAUUGAAACUUAUAACAACUUGUAUUCCACGCGGCUUGAACUUUAUAAUUGUGAUGAACUUGUGACUGUGACUUAUGUUCCAAAUAGUAUGAAAUGAAUGGUUUCCCUCUUUUCCUUUG